AGUGAACGCUGGCGGUAGGCCUAACACAUGCAAGUCGAACGGCAGCACAAGAGAGCUUGCUCUCUGGGUGGCGAGUGGCGGACGGGUGAGGAAUACAUCGGAAUCUACUUUUUCGAGGGGGAUAACGUAGGGAAACUUACGCUAAUACCGCAUACGACCUACGGGUGAAAGCAGGGGACCUUCGGGCCUUGCGCGAUUGAAUGAGCCGAUGUCGGAUUAGCUAGUUGGCGGGGUAAAGGCCCACCAAGGCGACGAUCCGUAGCUGGUCUGAGAGGAUGAUCAGCCACACUGGAACUGAGACACGGUCCAGACUCCUACGGGAGGCAGCAGUGGGGAAUAUUGGACAAUGGGCGCAAGCCUGAUCCAGCCAUACCGCGUGGGUGAAGAAGGCCUUCGGGUUGUAAAGCCCUUUUGUUGGGAAAGAAAUCCAGCCGGCUAAUACCUGGUUGGGAUGACGGUACCCAAAGAAUAAGCACCGGCUAACUUCGUGCCAGCCGCCGCCGUAAAAC
rnacentral:rRNA from 1 species